AACGCACCUUGCGCUCCUUGGUAUUCCGAGGAGCAUGCCUGUUUGAGUGUCAUUAAUUUCUCAACCUCACCAACUUUUUUGUUGUGUGAAGGCUUGGAUGUGGGGGUUUGCAGGUCCGCUCUCGAGCGGUCUGCUCCUCUGAAAUGUAUUAGUGGGUUUAGUCCCCUAAUCUAUUGGUGUGAUAAUUAUCUACGCCGUGGAUUGGGAAGGCUGUUAAUGAACUCGCUUCUAACCGUCCUCACGGACAACAUUUGACAAUUUUGACCUCAAAUCAGGUAAGACUACCCGCUGAACUUAA
rnacentral:misc_RNA from 1 species